rnacentral:rRNA from 1 species
UACGUAGGGUGCAAGCGUUUGUCCGGAAUUAUUGGGCGUAAAGAGCUCGUAGGCGGUCUGUCGCGUCGGGGAGUGAAAACUCAGGGCUUAACCCUGAGCCUGCUUCCGAUACGGGCAGACUAGAGGUAUGCAGGGGAGAACGGAAUUCCUGGUGUAGCGGUGAAAUGCGCAGAUAUCAGGAGGAACACCGGUGGCGAAGGCGGUUCUCUGGGCAUUACCUGACGCUGAGGAGCGAAAGUGUGGGGAGCGAACAGG